rnacentral:rRNA from 1 species
CCUACGGGAGGCUGCAGUGAGGAAUAUUGGUCAAUGGACGAGAGUCUGAACCAGCCAAGUAGCGUGAAGGAUGACUGCCCUAUGGGUUGUAAACUUCUUUUAUAUGGGAAUAAAAUGUUCCACGUGUGGGAUUUUGUAUGUACCAUAUGAAUAAGGAUCGGCUAACUCCGUGCCAGCAGCCGCGGUAAUACGGAGGAUCCGAGCGUUAUCCGGAUUUAUUGGGUUUAAAGGGAGCGUAGGUGGAUUGUUAAGUCAGUUGUGAAAGUUUGCGGCUCAACCGUAAAAUUGCAGUUGAAACUGGCAGUCUUGAGUACAGUAGAGGUGUGCGGAAUGCGUGGUUUAGCGGUGAAAUGCUUAGAUAUCACGAAGAACUCCGAUUGCGAAGGCAGUUCACUGGACUGCAACUGACGCUGAGGCUCGAAAGUGUGGGUAUCAAACAGGAUUAGAUACCCGGGUAGUC